rnacentral:rRNA from 1 species
AGUGAACGCUGGCGGUAGGCCUAACACAUGCAAGUCGAACGGCAGCACAGUAAGAGCUUGCUCUUACGGGUGGCGAGUGGCGGAGGGGUGAGGAAUACAUCGGAAUCUACUUUUUCGUGGGGGAUAACGUCGGGAAACUUACGCUAAUACCGCAUACGACCUACGGGUGAAAGCAGGGGAUCUUCGGACCUUGCGCGAUUGAAUGAGUCGAUGUCGGAUUAGCUCGUUGGCGGGGUAAAGGCCCACCAAGGCGACGAUCCGUAGCUGGUCUGAGAGGAUGAUCAGCCACACUGGAACUGAGACACGGUCCAGACUCCUACGGGAGGCAGCAGUGGGGAAUAUUGGACAAUGGGCGCAAGCCUGAUCCAGCCAUACCGCGUGGGUGAAGAAGGCCUUCGGGUUGUAAAGCCCUUUUGUUGGGAAAGAAAAGCAGCAGGUUAAUACCCCGCUGUUCUGACGGUACCCAAAGAAUAAGCACCGGCUAACUUCGUG